GCUGAAAUUACUUGCACAGCGUCGGUGAUGGAUUAGUCCCUGGUUAAAGUAACUGAGCUGAACCCACAGAUGCCGAAUUACACGGGAGGGAGUUCUGAUAUCCACCCCGCUGCGCUCCAGAGAGCAACUGGAUUUAAAGCCCCGACUCUAGCCCUGUAAAUUACAGAACACAAGUGCCGUGCCAGCGCAGUCGGUUGCAGGGGAGCAGUCAGUCACAGCACUACAGCCCUCCUGGAGCCGAGCUGGAAAUUGCCUGGGAGGACCCAGAGCUUGUUUGUGGACCCAGCUACUAUGCUUGAUCUUCUCGUAGAGCAGAGGCUG
rnacentral:lncRNA from 1 species